rnacentral:rRNA from 1 species
AUUGAACGCUGGCGGCAGGCUUAACACAUGCAAGUCGAACGGUAACAUAAAGAAGCUUGCUUCUUUGAUGACGAGUGGCGGACGGGUGAGUAAUGCUUGGGAAUCUAGCUUAUGGAGGGGGAUAACUACGGGAAACUGUAGCUAAUACCGCGUAAUAUCGAGAGAUUAAAGUGUGGGACCUUCGGGCCACAUGCCAUAGGAUGAGCCCAAGUGGGAUUAGGUAGUUGGUGAGGUAAGGGCUCACCAAGCCGACGAUCUCUAGCUGGUCUGGGAGGAGGACCGGGCCCACUGGGACUGAGACACGGCCCAGACUCCUACGGGAGGCAGCAGUGGGGAAUAUUGCGCAAUGGGGGCAACCCUGACGCAGCCAUGCCGCGUGAAUGAAGAAGGCCUUCGGGUUGUAAAGUUCUUUCGGUAGCGAGGAAGGCAUUUAGUUUAAUAGACUAGGUGAUUGACGUUAACUACAGAAGAAGCACCGGCUAACUCCGUGCCAGCAGCCGCCGUAACAC